rnacentral:sRNA from 2 species
GCUCUCUAUCCUAUCUACGGAUGAUCCAUCAUCUCUUGCACUCAUAGGUUUUGAAUUUUUUUUGUCCAUCCUGUAGUUACCUUAUCGAUGAAAAGUAACCUAAUAACUUAUAGCGGGUAUUCAACUUCAAGUUCCUGCUUCCAUUCGACAUAAGGAAGAAAAAUAUAGGAAUAUUGAUCCAACAGUCUCUUCUUCUUGCUCGUUUCUUCGAUGAAGGAACAUUAAACGAAUACUGUAGGAGUGCUCCAAAUAUCUAUCAAGUUUGGAUGACCGGGGGAAGCGGUUAGGGCAGAGAUUCCUUAAGUGCCAUCACCGGAACAGCGAGCCUUCGUUUGAAGGCAUAUGUGCCUCGAGACGAUGAAGGGGAUGUUUGUUAUCUAUGUCUUAAACUCAACAUCGUCAGAAAGCCUCUUUUCAGCCUUCCGGCGCUGAUGAUGGCAUGACCGACACGCGGAGACGAGGAAAGUAACGUGGAUGAGCCUUUUGUCAAUGGCAAACAAUAAAUUGGCCUUGUUAGAUCCGAUUCCACACAGCAUGUUUAUGCUUGGCGUAAAUAUAUAUAUCUAUAUUUUUCCCUUUCUUACCAUUUCCGUUUCUCCCUAAACAAGGAACAAAAAAAGGAUGCAACGAGACGAGAGCACGUUCGAUUAUGGUUUUACUCACCCGUUCGUGGAGCAAAACGCGGCCGCAAGAAAUCGCCAGAUGACAGAACUCCUCUCCGCAGGGUUCCCGCAGAUGGAGGUCCACCGGCCCCUACUGCAAUUGAUCCAAUCCGCAUCGGAGAACGGCGAGAUGGACACAUAAAUUCCUCCCACGAUCGCAAACAGCCCCAGGAGUAAAUCAAGCGUGACGCCGACGGCCGGGUGGAUGCGGUCAUUUCCGACAAAGAAGCUUAAGCUGAGUGCUAUCAAGGACCAUAAUGCUGAGAUGGAAAACUAUAUUGAUUGUUUUUUUUAUUGUUGGUUUUGUAAUAUCGAUCAGCUGUCUGUGGCGCCUUGGUAUAUACGGGAUGGAUUGUGGUGGAAAGGGGGAGACUCUAACGUACGGAACAUAUCCCGAUUGUUUCGGCGAACGGGCCUGUAUCCGGUGAAGAUAAGACCCCAGUUGCCCAUCCGAGACCAAUGGCGCCGGUGAUAGAGAUGAGAGAGGCGGAAAUGCGCAGGAAUAGAAAGAUGGUGCUCGGUUUGCUCAUGGCUACUGCUGCUGCUUGAUUACGUGCGAUAGAUAUUUCGGAAGGAUGCGAAUCCCAGACGAUGUCUCCUCGUCGUCUUACAUGUAUGUACCCACCAAUUAAUUGAGGGAGGGGGAAUAAAGGUACUGUAAAUAAUUGAAAAUGUAGAGAAACAUAGGCAGUGUACUGUAUCGUGCACCGAAAGGACCAGGGGGAAGUCAAACCAACACACAAACCAAGUUCGAUCGGAAACACCUGAAUUGCACUGCAAGAAGAGAAAAACUCCUGCCUUCAUGGAUACAUACUGGAUCACAUUGUUUCUUGGGAAGAGAGGAGAAGGAAGUGAUAACCAUCGCCGCAUCUCUAGGGGCAGAGUCCUGCUAAAAAUACCACAGAAUUGCUCCACUAAUAAGUAUCCAGAGAGCCUUCGAGGGCACCAUAGGCCGUACAUACAUACGUCAUCAUCGGCACCGUGUUGGGCCUGUCAUCUGUCAUCUGUGGG